GACGACGCUGGCGGCGUGCCUAACACAUGCAAGUCGAGCGGAGAUAUAUUGAAGAUUUAUCGGAUAUAUAUCUUAGCGGCGGACGGGUGAGUAACGCGUGGGUAACCUGCCUUAUACAGGGGGAUAACACAGGGAAACUUGUGCUAAUACCGCAUAAUAUCAUUGUAUGGCAUCAUAUGAUGAUCAAAGGAGCAAUCCGGUAUAAGAUGGACCCGCGUCCAAUUAGCUAGUUGGUGGUGUAACGGACCACCAAGGCGACGAUUGGUAGCCGAACUGAGAGGUUGAUCGGCCACAUUGGGACUGAGACACGGCCCAGACUCCUACGGGAGGCAGCAGUGGGGAAUAUUGCACAAUGGGGGAAACCCUGAUGCAGCAACGCCGCGUGAAGGAUGAAGGUUUUCGGAUCGUAAACUUCUUUGAUGAGGGACGAAUAAUGACGGUACCUCAAGAACAAGCCACGGCUAACUACGUG
rnacentral:rRNA from 1 species